rnacentral:rRNA from 1 species
AGAGUUUGAUCCUGGCUCAGAUUGAACGCUGGCGGCAUGCUUUACACAUGCAAGUCGAACGGCAGCGAAGAGAAGCUUGCUUCUCUGUCGGCGAGUGGCGAACGGGUGAGUAUAGCAUCGGAACGUGCCAAGUAGUGGGGGAUAACCAAGCGAAAGUUUGGCUAAUACCGCAUAAGCUCUAAGGAGGAAAGUAGGGGACCGUAAGGCCUUACGCUAUUUGAUCGGCCGAUGUCGGAUUAGCUAGUUGGUGAGGUAAUGGCUCACCAAGGCGAUGAUCCGUAGCGGGUCUGAGAGGACGAUCCGCCACACUGGGACUGAGACACGGCCCAGACUCCUACGGGAGGCAGCAGUGGGGAAUUUUGGACAAUGGGGGGAACCCUGAUCCAGCCAUGCCGCGUGUAUGAAGAAGGCCUUAGGGUUGUAAAGUACUUUUGUUAGGGAAGAAAAGCUAGUUUUUAAUAAAGACUAGUGAUGACGGUACCUAAAGAAUAAGCACCGGCUAACUACGUGCCAGCCGCCGCGGUAAUUC